GAUCCUGGCUCAGGACGAACGCUGGCGGCGUGCUUAACACAUGCAAGUCGAACGGAAAGAGAUGAAAGAGCUUGCUCUUUUUAUUAAUUUCAGUGGCAAACGGGUGAGUAACACGUAAACAACCUGCCUUAAGGAUGGGGAUAACAGACGGAAGCGACUGCUAAUACCGAAUACGUUCUAAGCAUCGCAUGGUGCAUAGAAGAAAGGGUGGCCUCUACAAGAAAGCUAUCGCCUUAAGAGGGGUUUNCG
rnacentral:rRNA from 1 species